GCUGCGACACGCCCGCAAGGAUAUUCUGCCCAUGCCGUAAGACAACGUUUGCCGUCAUCUGCGUUGGCGAACACAACAUCCAAAGGCGUUGUUGCUGCUGCAACACACCCACCAGGAAAUGCUGUCCAUGUUGGAGGACAACGGCUGCCGUCGGCUGCAACGGUGGUGACAGCAUCUAGGAGUGUUGUCGCUGCCGCCGGAGGUCAACGGUUGCCGUCUGAAUCAACAAACGCAACUUCCAGCGGUGUUGUUCCUGUUACUGCACGUCCGCCAGGAAGUGUUGUACACGCCAGAGGACAACGGUUGCCGUCGGCUGCAACAGUGGGGACAGCAUCUUGUGGUGUUGUUGCUGCUGUUCAUACUGGAGGACACCGGCUUCCGUCUACAUCACCAAAAGCAACAUCCAGUGGCGUUGUUGUUGCUACGGAACGCCCGCCAGGAAAUGCUGUUGAUGCUGGAUUGCAACAGUUGACGUCGUCUUCAGCGGUGGUGACAGCAUCUGGAGGUGUUGUCGCUGCUGCAGCAAAACCGCCAGGAAUGGCUAAAUGCUCCGCAGGACAUCGGUUAUCGUCGUCUGCAACUGUUAUUGCAGCAUCCGGAGGUGGUUUUUCUGCUGCGACACGCCCGCAAGCAAGGAUUGUCAGCGCAGAUGUUCUCAAGCCAACAUCAGCUGUAUCAAUGAUGGAAGUUUCCAGCGAUGAUGCUUCUGCUGCAACACAGCCGCAAGAAGAAAGCCACCCGUCUUGCUGCUGUCCGCUUUGCCGAAAGCUGCUUAUUAGACAGGAUGCUCGAAAUGCACAAAUACUUGCUCUGUUAGAUGGACUUUCCUUAACAAUGAAUCCUAUGAAAGGACUUCGAAGGAAUGUAAAUACAUUUAAUAUUACUGCAGUGGCCAACGUGCAGUAGCUAGAUGAGCUGGAAGCUAAUUUGGAAAAUAAUGAAUUCUUUUUUUUUUUGUUAUGUACAAAGAAUCGAUGCCGAUAUUACAAGUCAGGAUGCAUUCAAUAGGUUACAUGAGGCUUUGGAUAUCCUUUUCGAUAGAACAUUUUUCGCUUCUUGCAGUUGGAAAGGAUCAUCUGGAAAAAAUACCGUUUUGUAAUUACCGGCAUGUAUUACGUUUGCUUAGGGCUGUCGGAAAAAAUCACUUAGGGAUAGAAGUCGAUGACCUUUUUGUAGAAAAGUUUAUGAAAUCAAAGUUGGAGCAUGCUACUCAACGCUUGAAUUUGGAGGGUUCAAGGAAAUCGACUUGUCACAAUAGAAAAUUUUUAAGUUAGUUAAUUUAGUUAAUUAAGAUAGUUAACCUGUUUACAUAUGUUAUGUAUUCCUAAACGUCUAUAAGCUGUCACAUAUGUACAUAUGAAUAUUUUUAAAUUAACGUAUAAUUCAAACUUUAGUCUUAUCAUUAUGAGCUUAAGUAGCGUUAUUAUAAGAUGAUCAUAUUGAUACCAAAGUUUAUUUGAAUUCUAGUCGAAAAAUUAUGCACUGCACUACUAUCAUUAUAACAUGUACAUAUUAUUAUAAGUAAUGUUUUUUUUUAUGACAUAGCUAAUAUGAACUAUUAUGAUAAAUAUUAUGAAUUCUUGCCUUAACAUACACAAAUUUAUAUUAACUUUAAAUGUGCCAUCAAAGUACUACUUAAAUGCUUCAUAACAUGAUACUAACAUCUGUAAAAUUAAGAGAUUAUGACGCGGUUGCUACGCUUUAAAAGUAAUUUUGUGGCUGUAAGUUUCUAACAUAAAUACAAACAUUUUGUUAGAAGAAACUGUCGGGAAGUAUUUGAAAAACUAUCUGUGAUGUAUAAGGAAGUGAAUGCAUUUCAUUGGAUUUUUAUAUAUUUUGUUAAAGUAAACCGUAUACAAACAAAUAAAUUUGCUUGUUGUUCACGACAUGAAAAUUGAACUGUGAACGUUUACCGCUGUCAAUAAAAAUAAACAACUAUGGCACCGCGUUGAAAUGUCACGCACACUGCUAAGCAUACCACGCAUGGCUCGAAAGAACACAAACACAUUGACAACUGCAAAGCGCACCGUGCGUUACGGGUGGGGAGGGGGAGGGCUCGCGCGAGGGUGUAACUCAUUCCUCCAAGAGUAACUGCUAACGGGGGACGGUACUCAAAUCACUCAAAAAAUACACUCAUUUUGCCGGACGGGUGCCCGUCCGGCAAAAUGAGUGUAUUUUUUGAGUGAUCCCUUUCGGCAAAAUGAGUGCAUUUUUUGAGUGAUUUGAGUGACGCUGUCGAAAUACAGUCAACUAUUAGGCCAUAUUUAUCUUCGUCAGAAGGAAGUAGUAUCUGCCUAUAUUAUCAAAAUUAGGCUUCCCUAUGAAAUACCUCGUAGAAUCCGGUCCCUUGAUGAAAUUGCGCAAUGGAAAGCUACUGAAUACCGUAUCUUCUUCCAUUAUUUAAGCGUAGUUAUACUAGAAGAUUUUUAUCAAUAUGAAGGUUCAUUUAACCAUUUUUUGAUGUUAUUUUCUGCAAUAACAAUAUUUUCUUCAAGGGCCCAUCAACAAUAUUGGUCUCUGGCAAAAAUAAUGUUGGACGAAUUCUUUAGACACUUUGGGAAAUAUUAUGGACGGUCUAACAUAACUAGCAAUGUUCAUAACCUUCAGCAUGUUGCUCAUGAAGUUGAAAAGCUUGGGCCUCUGGAUUUAUAUUCCGCAUACGAUUAUGAAAAUAAUUUAAGAUUUAUUAAGCAAGACGUAAAAUCAGGCACUAAUAUAGUUGAACAAGAAGGUGGUCGUCUAACCGAACGCAGUCAAGUAGUAAAAGCCAAAAACAUCGCGAAACUUAUAUACCAGAGACUUAGACCAAACGGCCAUUUCUUUAUUACCGAGGAUUUUUCCCUUCACACACAGUUCCAGAAGCAAUGGUUUUUAACUGAAGAAAGUAAUAUUAUUAAAUUUGUAAAAGCAAAGAAAGAUGCUUGUGAUUCCUUUAUAAUUGUUGGCGAUUUAAUCGAAUCAUGUGAGGAACUUUUUAAUGUAGUGUCUGAUGAGGACAAUGUGAUAACAGAUAUACAUUUAUCAUCGACUGAAAUUUGUAUCUACAAAGUUAAGCUUAAUGUUCCUACAAUAAGGGUAGAGGUCCCCUGUACAUCUGUGCUAUGUAAGCUUGUUCCAAUUUUUAAACCAUCGCGGUCUUUAUUGCAAAUGCCUGUAAGGACAACACCCCAGCCAAAUUCAAUAGUUUUAUUUCCUUUGUUACACACGUUUAGGAACGCAUAAUAUGUAAAAUAGUUUAUUAAAAAUUAUUCAACAAAAACAAGCCAUUUAUUUAUUUACUUAUCGUGAUUUUAACUUUAAUAAAUGACAUGAUUUUUAUUAAUUUAAAAUUUCAGUUAAAUAAAUAACUUUGGUUUUUGCGGCACCGCAUCGAACUCAAAAUAGAAAAGAGCUUAUGGGUACCAACUGUAAAAGUAAACGAACGAACAUGUUUUAAUAGUUCACGUAUAUUCAACUAAACAUUAUUUAUAGAGCCUAGGUCUAUUCCAUCUCUUAUAAAACUAAUAUGUUCCUAACAAAGUAAUAGUCAACAAUACUAAAAUAACUAAACUAGUUCGUUUGUUUUUUGUUUCGCUUGUGCGCUUUAUGCACUACGCUUUUAGUUAUUCCUCUUGUUAAGCUUGCACUUUUUGCAUUACUAAUUUUGUUUUUUAAGAAUUGCUCGACAUCUUUUUCUGUUGUCUGGGCACCUCCUACCCGUUUGAAGACAUUCAGAAUGUUUCGGUAUGCCACUAACGCUACCUUUUCCGAGCCAUUUCGCGAAACACCUCUCCAAUUGCACUGAACCACAAACUGACGACAAAACACAUUGUAAAAUGUGUGGUUGUGCGCGUUUCGUUCUAAGUCCCGCGCGCAGUGUUUGUGCGUUGGUGCGCAUUUCGUCAAAGUCUCGUGCGCUGGUGUGUUUUGGUGAACCCAAGUAGCAGAGCCGAAGUUAUUGAGAGGUUUUUUUGUGAGCCAAAGCGAGAGGCUCUGUCUUCUCUCUCUAGAUUUUGAACGGCAAACCGCCGCCCGUGCAGAGGUGUGCGCGUGUGCCGAAAAAUUAUGGAUGAAAUACGGGGGAAGCGGGGUCUGGAGUCUUUCGUUCGUCACACACACAUGCAUUUACCAGCGGAUAUCGCUGGACCGAGUCUACCCAUCUCUCUCGAUCCACCAUGAUUUUUCUGCUAUCGCGCUCAUCCGGGUGUUAGGCAUCCUUAGUCUGUCCAGAACUUUCCCUGUGGAAGGAUGUACUGAAGUGAGGUGCGAUUUCUUGUGCAACGUACUUUGCUCAUUUACGUUUUGUGCCGUGUUCCUUCUUCCUCAGUUAUGAAAUGAUUUAUCCUAGCAAAUUGUUGAGUUACAGGUGUGUGCGCUAUUUAUCAACGACUACAUGCUAGCCUCGUCAACAAUCUUCAAAGUGAGCGACGGAAAGAAAACGUUUUCCAGUUUUAAAAUAUUAAGCCCCCGGUGAGGACGUCAUUACUUAACAGAAGCCGGUUCAACACGCACAGCUCCUGUUCAUGUCGUCAUCAUAAAACUGAAGCCAGCUGAACACGCGCAGCACAGAUGGUACCCCGAACGCAGUAGGAGGAAGGAAGAACGAGAGGAGGAAGAACGGUAAAUUUGGAAGGGGGAAAGCGUUCUGCCGUCUACACAGCGGGAGUAUGCCAAAACACAUGUGGGAAGGGAGAGGGAUAUUAUUCAAUAAACAGCAUGCGAAUGUGUGCAUAAAGCAAA